CCAGCCCUCUCUCCUCUUACUGUAACUUCCCCAAAUUCUUUUCCUUUUUCAAUUGGAAUUCUGGAAUGCUGGCGAGAGACACACAAUCCUUUCCUCUCCAUGACUCCCAUCCAAACCUGCAUCUUAGAGGAACCAAUGAUACCUCGCAACACCAAAAUAUUUGGGAAAACAAAAAAAACACCUGCCACUCCCCACGUUGAGGAGAUAAUCUAAAAGCACCCUCUCAACUUCAAAACAGAAAAAAAGGACUCACAACCUCCAUCACCCAAUCCCAUCUUCCAGACCAAGGGGAAUUUCAUUUUUCCAAUUAUCCGAAAACCACUUUUUCUCUCCCUGGCGGACACACACACGUUCCUUUUCUCUCCAUCGUCCAUCGUCACCUUCUAAUCCCCACCGACCGGUAUCCCUUCGUGGCCACUAGAAAUAGAGAAGAUUAAACAAAAUCAUGGACCCAUCCUCAAUAACUCUCACCCAUCAGCUUGUGCUCCAUUUUCAUUCUCAAAAACAAACUGACAUUCACCCAAUCAAUAUUAGCAGAUCCCAUGAUCACCAAAGUUUUUACAGUUAUAGUAGCUACAUCUAAAUUGCUAAAGAGCAAUUCAAGGCAACGAGGAACGGAGGGAAUUGAGUUGAGACGUGCGAAGGUGAAGCUUCGGUAAGUCGCGUCAUUCUCGAGUUGGUGUCAUCGACGGUAGCUGAAACGUGUGUCGUUCACAAAGCCGGCAACGGAGGAACGACGCUGCAAGAGACUGAACGUGGUAGAGUUGCACGAUCAUUCGCAUCAGCCUCGCGCUAAAAUCUUUUCUUCAUUUAAAAUAACAAAAUAUUUUAAAGGUUUAAGCGUGUGUGCGAUCAUUCGCAUCAGCCUCGCGCUAAAACCUUUUCUNNNNNNNNNNNNNNNNNNNNNNNNNNNNNNNNNNNNNNNNNNNNNNNNNNNNNNNNNNNNNNNNNNNNNNNNNNNNNNNNNNNNNNNNNNNNNNNNNNNNNNNNNNNNNNNNNNNUGCGAUCAUUCGCAUCAGCCUCGCGCUAAGAUCUUUUCUCCUUUUAAAAAUAACAAAAAGGUUGAAGCGUGUGUGCGAUCAUUCGCAUCAGCCUCUCGUUAAGAUCUUUUCCCCUUUUAUAAAAAUAUCAAAGGCAUUUUAAAGGUUUAGGCACGUGUGUGAUCAUUCGCAUUGUCCUCGUGCGGAGACUUUUCUUUUUCUCACAUAAAAAAUACGGAAAUACCAAGCAAACUUCCAAUCAGCUUUUCCAAACAAUUUCCUCAAACAAAUUUUCCAAACAGUUUGAAAGAACUACGUAACCCUGAUUUCUCAUUUUGAAUGAGAAUACGUAGGAGCAAGGUCAAUCCUUGUCGAGCCCAAAAAACCAAAAAAAUAUUUUUGUUUCUUUAUAUUGUUGUCUUUGGGAUAGUUAAACAUUUUACAAACCACAUCUUAUUUCGCGUAUUUAAUUAAAGGUACUGCCUUAAGGCAGGCGUUGUGGGGGUACUAACACAUUCUCCACACGUAACCGACUCCCGAAUUGAAUAUUUGGUUUUCAUAGACUAAGCCUUAUCCUCUUUAUGGUUUUUUCCAUAGUUUUCCAGAAUAAACUAUGGUGGCGACUCCAAAACAAUUUUUCAACAGUUUUCUUUUUGGAUCGUCGUCCCAUCACGAUUCUGGUUGCGACACAAUGCAAGUCAACUGAAUUAAAUGCGAAAUCAAUUUGGUUGUUAUGACUGUUGCUAAUUUGUUUUAAUUUCUAUUUAUAACUGUCUGAUGACAGUCAACUACAUUAGUAGAAAAGUCGACUACAGGAGCGUCUGGUUUAUAGAAAACUAUAAAUAGACGUGAUUUUGUUGAUCACAGAGACUUUGGAUGUUCUAACAUUUUCGUUUGAUAUUUCAGAUUGUGAUCUCUAUGUAAAAGCUCCAAGAAAUCAUCAAUAAGAUGGAACAGAUCUUUCUUGGAAGAGUUUCUUAAGGAGGAACUAAUUUGCGCGUACUGUUUGAUCAAGAUCUUCGUAAGUUGUUCUUCAUCAUAUUGGUCAAGAUUUCUAUCAAUCUUUGGAAAGUUUAUUGUUGUCCUGUUAGGAUUACAAGAGGUGAACUCGUGGAGUUCUGGACACUUUGAGGAUUGUUCAAAGUGGGUUGAAGAUUGCAAAAGAGGGGAUAUCUUGUUGCAUAUCUUUGUGUUGACUUCCUAUACUUUUAGUUAAAGGGUUAGAGAGAUUGUCUAUACUUUUGACGUGGAGGUCUCUAUAGAUAUCUUGUUGUAAAAACCUUGACUAAUAUAGUGCAUUAGCUUCCUGGUUGUGGAAGGACACUGGAUGUAGGCAUAUAGCCCGAACCAGUAUAAAAAAUUUGUGUUUGCUUUCUCUUUCCCUACACUUUUACUUUAUAUCAACUUUACAAUUUACAUAAUUAACUUUAUAUUUCCGCUGCACUUAAACUUCUUAUUCCUUGCGAUUCAAGAAACUUUUUAAAGGUUUAUAUUUUGUGAAAAAGAUUUUAAAAAGAAUCUGAUUUUUAAACCUCACCAAUUCAAACCCCCCCCCCCCUCCCCUCUUGGUGUUGAAACUGAGCCAUCCUGUUUCCAACAGACGGAUUGGUCUCAGAAAUUAGAUGACUCUCCUUGGGCAUAUAGGACGACAAUGAAGACAACUAUAGGGCUAUCUCCUUUUUAGUUAGUCUGUGGGAAAGUGUGUCAUCUGCAAUGGAGAUGAAGCAUAAAGCUUUGUGGGCCCUAAAAUUCUUGAAUUUUGAUCCCUUUGAUACUAAUAAUAAAUGAAGAAGGCAGACUCUUGAGCUUGAAGAGAUGUGUUUGCAUCCACAUGAUUCUUCUAGGAAUUAUAAAGAAAAGGUAAAAUUUUAUCAUGACAGGAAGCUAGUAAAGAAUGAUUUCAAUCCAGGGCAGUAGGUACUAUUCAGUUCAUUCCUAAAGCUUUUUCUUGGGAAGUUGAAGUCAAAGUAGUUAGGGUCGUUCAUAGUAAAAAAAUUUUGUCCCCAUGGAGUAAUUGAGUAGAUAGAUCCAACCGCUAAUGAUCCACAAAGAAGUUGGGUGGUAAACGCUGAACGUCUCAAGCAUUAUUUGGGUGGAGAAGUUGAACGCCUUUCCAUAGUUAUGAAGUUGGUUGAUCCAUGAGCAUAAUGGUGUCAAGCUAAUGACCUUAAAACAAGCGCUUACUAAUAACGGUUUAAAACACCGUUACUUGUGAUGUAGUUUUUAUACUAAAAACACCCUCUUUUCACUUAGAAACUUGCUUGGACUCAUGCUUUUUCAUUAAGUUGUGUGAAUAAGAGAGUUGAGGUUGAUUUCAAUAAUUUUAUGACUAAUUGCCUUUGUUUUGACAGAGAUUGAGGUAAUACUGGAAGAAGAGAUGAAAAACUAAGAAGAUGGAGCUCAGAAGGGCGUAAAAAGCAACCUGAAGGAGGGAAAACACGAAGCUCAAGCGACCAGAGCCGAAGCUGUGGCGAUCAAAAUCGACGUCCACCACUCAGGCGGUGGCCUUCGCCGCCUGGAUGGAAGAGCCUCGAAGCUUGGGUGUCCAAUUUCGACGCCUGGGCCUUACAUGAGCCAUUCUAACUGCCUGGGCGUCCUCCUAGACCACCUGGGUGUCGACUUUCGCGGGUCGGGCCCUGUUUCUGCUCUGUUUUGAUUCUUUUGGACCAGGCCCUAUUUUGGCACGCCUCUAACACUAUUUAAAGGACCCUGGGGCUCCAAGUUUUGUAUCCCUAGCGAAGAAGAGCAUAACAAUACACUCUUUUCCCAAUUCUUAGGCUUUUAUUCUCAUUCUUUCUUCCAUUAUUCAUAGAGUUCCCUCAUAUCUGUGGGGAACUAAUUUCAAUUUGUUGUUGGGGAAUGAUGUAACUUUUGAGAAAUAGGUAGGCUUCGUUUUAACACCAAGAG
rnacentral:lncRNA from 1 species